UCUCAAGCCUAGAGAAGAAGCUAAUUGGAGGAAUACUGAACUCAGUAGCUGAAAAUAUGUUUGGUGAGUCAGAAAGAUAGUGGCUUGCUGUUCUAGUAUGGGAACUAGACUCAGGGAUCUUGACAUUCAAUCCUUCCUUUGAGCUUUUCCAUGACCUGGAAAAAAAAACAUACCUGGUCAUCAGAGCUGGAUACUCUGAAUCAUGCUGAUACCUGACAUCUUCAGAAAUCUGACUCCCCAUGACUGUGAUUCUCUAUGCCAGGAAGAGUUCUGCAAGAUUCCAGAGAUGUCUGUCAGUACCUCUCCAUGAGCACUAGGAAGAUGUGGACACAUAUAUCUUCAUGGGGCAACACACUUCAACUAUAUUGGAAUAGUAAUGUGCUGUAAGAAUGACAAAUAUUGGGAAUUCAAUGAAACAUAGGAAGACUUCAUAAAGUGAUACAUAUUGAAGAAAGCAGGACCAUAGGAACAACCUACAUGAUGUCCUUUUGUAAAGCUUUAUAGCAGAUUAUAUAUGUAAAUGACAUAAUGUAAAUUUAAAUAAUGUAAUGUAAAUGAAUAAUGUCAUUUACAUAAUGCAAAUUUGUAAUUUUUUACAAACGGUUGUCUACAAAGGGUUGGUCUACAGAGGUAAAACUGAAUAUAUACUACCAGUUACCAUGUCAGUUGGCUUUGUUUAAAUAUUUUUCUUUGUUACAAGCAAGUUUUCAGUAGUGGUUAUGGGAGAGGGGCGGGGUUUGAGAGUGAGGAUGGGAGUGUUAAGAAAAAUCAGAGUUCAGUAAAGGCAGAAAGCAACAUUAAAGUUUUUGGAGGAUUUCUUUUAAAUUUUAAAGUCAGUAUUCCUGAACUGUUAAAAUACAUACACAUACAGGCAGGCAGUUUACUGUUCAAAAAUUAUGACCCCUAUAUUUAGACUGUUUCUGAGAAAUCCAAAAUAUCAUUUGUUCCUCUUUUUGAAUCUAAAUAAGGUCGAUUCCCUUCUCUUCCCCCAUUCUUCCUGUCCUACUUCACUAACCUCAAAUUCAACAGGUCAACAAAAAGGUACCUUAAAGGCCAGGGAUUCAUUAGUCAUGGAAGAGUUUUAAGUUGCAAUGAUUUAUUUUUUUUCCAGUCAAGAAACCCUUUUUGUUGUUAUUUUGCCCCAGGAAUUUCCAGUACAUUUUUUAAUUCAGUCUGGUCAGAAAAUAAAUGCAACUCAGAGUAUGGAGAUGCUUGGGGCCAACUUGAUCACAAAAUUCUCAGUUUACUGUUGGGGAACAGGCAGGGUUGAGACUGCUCUCUCAAAAUGUCCUGUCCAUAGGAGAGUAUUAUAUGAUUCUAAAGGGAAAAUUUAACACAUAACAUUUUGCCUAUUUUCCCUUACUUUGUAGGAAAUUGAAAGAGCAUAUCAAAUGAAAUGUCUGGAUUAUGCAAAACUAAUCAUCUAGGCUUCAGUAUCAUUGGAAACACGUGAGAACCAUGACUUCCAAAAUAUGGUUCUCUUAAUUUUCUCCCACAAUAGUCCACAGAGAUUUAAUAUCUUAAAUCACUGAUCCUGAUAAUGAAGGUUGGGUCUCAUUGGUCUCUGUGAUCACUAGCCUUUGUUAGUUUUGAAGUGGCCCAUAAUCUUGAUACACUCAGGUUUUGUUCAAGAAUAUGGAGGAGGUAGGAACAGCUAGGUGGCGCAGUGGAUGGAGCACCAGAUCUAUCAGGAGGACCUCAGUUCAAUUCUGGUCUCAGACACUUAAUACUUUCUAGCUGUGUGACCCUGGACAAGUCACUUAACCCUAUUGCCUCAGCAAAAAGCAAAAAGCAAAAAAAAAAAAAAAAAAAAAAAAAAGGAGGAGAUAUUUCCUGGCUGUGUGACCCUGAAGAAGUCACUUAAUCUUAAUUGUCUAAGCAAAAAUAAUAAUAAUAAUUUUGAGGAGGUCCCUAAGCCUGCCAGACCCUAGACAUAGAAUAAUUGUUUUCUUGGUGGUUCCAGGUUAAGGGAUAGGAAUGGAUGAUUAUAUUUUGAGAAUGAAGACAGGUAAAAAUAUAAGCUUCUGCUGACAAGCACUUUACUAAAGAAACUUAUUAUUUCCCUUCUUAUUGAGCCUUUGAAUGAUCGUGGCAUUGCAAAACCUUCAUAAUGCCUGAGAAUAUGCUGCCUUCUCCUCAGUGAAGCAGACAAAUUAUGCUGAUGUCUCUUCUUCCUUUCUCCCCUCCCAAUCCAAGUUCUAUGUUUUUUUAAUUAUUUUAUUUUCAAUUCACAGAAUAAAACAAGUAUUUCUAUAACACAUUACAUUACAUUAAAAUUUUUUAUUGAAAAAUAUAUCAAUCCUGCAAGAGAAAGUCUGUAAUACCAGAGAAACUGAGGCAGACAGAAAUUAGUUUUUAAUCUUUAAUGUGGAGAGUUUAAGCUAGCUGGCCUCAUGGGACUCUUGUCCAAAGCAUUUGGCCCAGAUGAACCCAGGCAGGGAACUUACAUGGGGUUUUAGUCAAGUAAAAUUUGCAAACAGAAUACAAAACCUGAGUAUACAAUCUUAUAGGGAAACAAAGGCAGAUAAGGGAGGCAAGGACACUGGGAAAAGCAUCCUAACUUAAUCCUGACAGAAUAGGGAUCAAGAUAAGAAGGCUGAGGGAAGGAGACAGGGAGGCAGGGGGCAAUACUCAAAAGGAGGGGGAAUUAUACUAGCAAGGAUCGAGAUAAUGCACUUGGUGUUUAUGACACAAUAGUAUGUAAAGGAGAUCAGAACUCCAGGGUUUUCCCUGAGCUCUUUUUUAAACUCACUUUUCCAGUCCUAAUGGCAAGGAAAGGGGGGAUGACCAUAAUCUUUUAUUCAGGGCUCAACAAGUCCUUGGAAUAUAUUGUGUAGGAAGGUAACAUGGUCAGACCUGUACUUCAGGGAAAUCUCUUUGGUAACUGUGUAUGGGAUCUGGGGAUGGAAUGUGGAUGAGAGUGAGGAGAGAGAGGCAGAAGAAUUUUUUCACAAGAUGGGGCUGCUGUUAACCAGAGUCAAAGAAAAUGGUGGGAAGAUAUAGUAUCAUGCGCAUUUAGUGGGUUUUAAGAUUUCAGGGCCAAGCUAGGCAGCUUCACAGUUUCAGUGCUUCCAGUCUGAUCCAGGGCGAAGUCUAUUUAGUGCCGCCCCUCUCCAACCCACCCCACCCUCCUUCCAUCUAAACUCUGCAAAUCCCUUUGUUUAGGUUUGCAAGAGUAGACUAUGAGACAGUUUUCUUUGGUUCAAAAUUCCUGUUCUGGGUAUUAUCUGGGCUAAAUGCUGGAAAUGAGAAUUUCCUCUCUUGAUGCAACAUCUAGAACCUCCUUACUCAGGAAUGCCACAUUGUCCAUUUCUCUCUUUAUUCUGGAUCAGUUACCCAGAACCCAGAGGGUGGCAAAACUGCUACUGUCACAAAGCCUCAGUGUGAAUCUGGAUGUAGAGCUUUUACCCUGUUACCCAGCCUAUUCCUAGAUACUAGAAUGCUUAGCAUAUGGUGUGCUCUCUGCCACAUGCUACCCCCAGUCUCUCCCUAUCUCCCUAUCCUGAGCUGGUUGGAUAAAGGACUCACUAUGACUUGUUCUGCAUUUACCCAUCAGGAUUUGGUCUGAUGCAUUUUUUAGGUCUGUUUGAAAGAGUUUUUGUAAAGAAGCGUUUAUCAUAUUGCUCUUGGAUCCUCCUGGAUUAGAUUACCUCUAAAGCCUCUACCUAUGACAAAGACUAUGCUUUCUUUUUGCUUGGGAAUAGUUUAAAGAUUUUGUUUUUAAUUUUUCAUCACUUUUUUAAAAGAUCCCAUCACAACAUUUUCCUGGGACCCUGUUUCACAAAUUAAAUUGGUCUGAUCCUUGAUGCUUUAUUAUCAUAUUAUUAUAAAACUAUAUUAUAUAUUCUUUUUUUUCCUGAGGCAAUUGAGGUUAAAUGACUUCCCAGGGUCACACAGCUAGGAAGUGUUAAGUGUGUGAGACUAGAUUUGAACUCAAGUCCUCCUGACUUCAGAGCUGGUGUUUUAUUCACUUAGAUGCCCCUAUAUUAUAUAUUCUUUAUGAGGGAAAUAGGCACAGAGAAAUAGAAGAGAGAAAGGGCCCAGGCCAGAAUUUGGGGGGCCUGUUUCUGUAACUUUCAAGGAUUUCUAAACAUUUUUACUAGAAAGAUCAUCUAGCCAGACUAACAAUGUGAUUGCUAAUAAGUUUCUUAAUCCCAGUAAACUUCAGUUUUUCUAUCUAUAAAAUGAAGAUUUAAAAAAAAAAAAAACUCAAAAAAGUACUAAAGAUGAGAAUUAUUCUUUGACAGCCAAUCAUCAAAUUUAAUUUGGAACAUUAUUUUUUGAUACUUCGUGUAUCUGAGAUUCCAUCAAUGUGGGCACUAUCAUUAGUAGCUACCAUAAGGUCUCUACCCCUUUGAGCAAAUUUCAUCCAAGCCCUUCCAUCUUGGGGUUCAUUUAAUAUGCAAGGGGAAAAGGGAUUUCUGACUAUUCUGACUGUAAUUCUUUUGAUAUUUUGUGAAUAUCAGUGGAGUACAUUACUUAUCUUUUGCUCCUGUUACAUGACUAGCUUACCAAUAGAAUUAUUUCUGCCUUCUGAAUUAAAUCUAUCUAACAAGAAGCUGAUAACUGGUGAUGAUUUCUUUGGCCAUGGUAAUCCAUAAAACAUUCUCCAUUAUUUUCAAUAGUGAUGCUGCUUUUGCUUCUGUUGUUGUUCUAAGGAAUAAUUUUGAUAGCUUGAAUACAAGAAUAAAGAAAAGUACAGGAAGAGAGAUUAUAUAAAUGUGCAAUUCAGGAAAAGGAGGAUUAUUGUGAGUCAGUCUAAGCUUUUUAUUAAGGGAUAACUUUAUCCCAGAUAGAAGAAAAGUUGGCAAUGUUGCAGUGAAUUGCUCUUAUAAAAAUAAAUGUUUGACAUCUGGAUUCAAUCUAUGCAAAGGAAAACAGUAUGUUAUACUCAGGAACUGACAAAAGAUGGUUUUAAGAGAAAUAUUCCUAAUAGGAAAACUAUCAUAAUAAAAUACAAAAUUGUUCUUUAAUAUGUUUCUAUAAAAUGACUGAAAUGGAAUCUGAUUGGGCAAAUUCAUUGGUUCCAACUGUUACAAUUUAGCAGUGUUUCAACAUUUCAUUCCACCUUGUUGCCUGUUUUUGCAGCAAUAAAUUAUAUUGAAUUGUUAUGCUUGUCACCACAUGUGUUCCCUCAAACGGUC
ensembl:lncRNA